GACGAACGCUGGCGGCGUGCUUAACACAUGCAAGUCGAACGGAAAGGCCUUUUCGGAGGUACUCGAGUGGCGAACGGGUGAGUAACACGUGGGUGAUCUGCCCUGCACUCUGGGAUAAGCCUGGGAAACUGGGUCUAAUACCGGAUAGGACCGCACUUUAGUGUGUGUGGUGGAAAGUUUUUUCGGUGUAGGAUGAGCCCGCGGCCUAUCAGCUUGUUGGUGGGGUAAUGGCCUACCAAGGCGGCGACGGGUAGCCGGACUGAGAGGUUGGUCGGCCACAUUGGGACUGAGAUACGGCCCAGACUCCUACGGGAGGCAGCAGUGGGGAAUAUUGCACAAAGGGCGCAAGCCUGAUGCAGCGACGCCGCGUGGGGGAUGACGGCCUUCGGGUUGUAAACUCCUUUCGCCAGGGACGAAGCGUUUUGUGACGGUACCUGGAGAAGAAGCACCGGCUAACUACGUG
rnacentral:rRNA from 1 species